GACAGAGGGUGCAAACGUUGCUCGGAAUCACUGGGCGUAAAGGGCGCGUAGGCGGACAAGUAAGUCGGGCGUGAAAUCCCUAGGCUCAACCUAGGAACUGCACUCGAAACUGCAUGUCUUGAGUACCGGAGAGGAAAGCGGAAUUCCGGGUGUAGCGGUGAAAUGCGUAGAUAUCCGGAGGAACACCGGUGGCGAAGGCGGCUUCCUGGACCGACACUGACGCUGAGGCGCGAAAGCUAGGGGAGCGAAUGGG
rnacentral:rRNA from 1 species